rnacentral:rRNA from 1 species
UACGUAGGGGGCAAGCGUUGUCCGGAUUUAUUGGGCGUAAAGAGCGUGUAGGCGGUUUGGUAGGUCCGUUGUGAAAACUCGAGGCUCAACCUCGAGACGCCGAUGGAAACCAUCAGACUAGAGUCCGGAAGAGGAGAGUGGAAUUCCUGGUGUAGCGGUGAAAUGCGUAGAUAUCAGGAGGAAUACCGGGGGUGUAGACGGCUCUCUGGACCGCCACUGACGCUGAGACACGAAAGCGUGGGUAGCAAACAGG